rnacentral:rRNA from 1 species
AGUGAAGCGGCAACAGCUCAAAUUUGAAAUCUGGCGCNUUUAGGUUCCGAGUUGUAAUUUGCAGAGGAGUCUUCCGAGGAGGUGAGAUCUAAAUCCUUUGGGACAGGGGGUCAUAAAGGGGGAGAAACCCCCAUGUGGUCUACAACCAUAGUCUAUGUGAAAUUCCUUCUCCAAGACUAGUUGUUUGGGAAUGCGCCUCCCAAUGGGUGGGAAAUUUCCUCUCAAGCUAAAUAUUGGCCAGAGACCGAUAGCGCACAAAUAGAGUGAUCGAAAAAUAAAAAGCACUUUGUAAAAAGAGUUAAAAAGUACGUGAAAUUGUUGAAAGGGAAACGUUUGCCACCCCACCUGUGUGUGGGUGAUCACCGCCUGUUCUCGCCCGUGCACUCGCCCCCAGCAGGCCCACAUCGGUUUGGGCGGGGGGAAAAUGGCUUUGGGAAAGGAGCUUCCUUCGGGAAGGCUUACUUCUCGUUGUGCAAUACCGCCCCCCCCGAUCAAGGAACGGGCUCCCGCUAGGAUGCUGGAAUAAUGGUCGUCACCAACCCGUCUUGAAACACGGACCAGGGAGUCAAAUAUCCAUGCUAGUGUUUGGGUAUAAAACCCCUACGCGUAAUGAAGGUGAAGGGAGGUGGGAACCCGUUAGGACGCACCAUCAACCGAUGCAAAUGUCUUCGGAUGGAUUUGAGUAGGAACAUGGUUGAUUGAACCCAAAAGAAGGAGAACUA